CCUACGGGGGGCAGCAGUGAGGAAUAUUGGUCAAUGGGCGGAAGCCUGAACCAGCCAAGUAGCGUGCAGGAUGACGGCCCUACGGGUUGUAAACUGCUUUUAUACGGGACUAACUCGGUUUACGUGUAGGGCUUUGCAUGUAACGUAUGCAUAAGGACUGGCUAAUUCCGUGCCCGCAGCCGCGGUAAUACCGAAGGUCCGGGCGUUAACCGGGUUUAUUGGGUUUAAAGGGAGCCUAGGCCGCAAGUCAAGCGUGCUGGUAAAUGUUCGGGCUCAACCCGGGCCUUGCAGCGCGAACUGGCGUGCUUGAGUCCGCGGAAAGCAGGCGGAAUUCGUCGUGUAGCGGUGAAAUGCUUAGAUAUGACGAAGAACCCCGAUUGCGAAGGCAGCUUGCUGCAGCGGAACUGACGCUGAUGCUCGAAAGCGCGGGUAUCGAACAGGAUUAGAUACCCGAGUAGUC
rnacentral:rRNA from 1 species